rnacentral:rRNA from 1 species
UACGUAGGUGGCAAGCGUUGUCCGGAUUUAUUGGGUUUAAAGGGUGCGUAGGCGGCCCCGUAAGUCAGUGCUGAAAUAUCCCGGCUUAACCGGGAGGGUGGCAUUGAUACUGCAGGGCUUGAGUAAAGUUGAGGUAGGCGGAAUUGACGGUGUAGCGGUGAAAUGCUUAGAUAUCGUUAAGAACACCGAUAGUGUAGACAGCUUACUAAGCUUUAACUGACGCUGAGGCACGAAAGUGUGGGGAUCAAACAGG